rnacentral:rRNA from 1 species
CGGGAAGAGCUCAAAUUUGAAAUCUGGCGUCUCCGGCGUCCGAGUUGUAAUCUGGAGAGGCAUCGUCCGCGGCGGACCUCGUACAAGUCCUUUGGGAUGAGGCGUCAUAGAGGGUGAGAAUCCCGUACGUGACGAGGACUACCGUCGCCUUGUGUCGUGCCCUCGAA